ACUCCCAAACAUAGCCUAAACCUUCUUCGUUUCUCCCUAAAUCUUCUCCGCUUCUUUGCAUUGUAAACCCUAAAUCAAUUUCCCUAAAUCUUCUCGGUUUGACGAAGAAGUACAGAUCCACGGCACUACCUCGUCCCAUAGUUGUCACUUUUCCACUCAAUAACACCAAUGUCUCAAAACUAUCUCUAGCUUUUCCACUCUUCCCUCUUUCAGAUUCAAAGUCUCUGCCAUGGUUUUCACCGUCACCACCACUAAAGUAGUCCCCUCCGUCAUUUUCGGCGGCGGAAGAGUUGGAAAGGCUUUACAAGACAUGGGAGAAGGCCAAGACGUUCUUGUGAAACGUGGAGAUUCAAUUCCUCUUGAUUUUGAAGGUUAGGGCCAAUUCCAAUAACGAAAGAAGAUUUGGGAAGUGACCAUUGCUUGUUGGAGAAUUGAACAUCACAAUGAGAGAUUAAACUGCAGCAGUUGGAGAUAUAGAAUUCACUGAUAAUUAUAGCUGGAUAAGGAGUAGAAGGCGGUUCAUCAUGGGAAUAAUCAAAGUGUUAGGAUUCAAGAAGCAAUGUCUGAUGCAUUUGUUGUUAAAGAUCAUUGUGGAGAAUAUGAUGAUUCAAUGCUAGCGGUGUUAUGGCGUCUGCAGCAAGUGGUUGCGGCAUCUCCGACAAAUGGUUAACAGCAUUUUCUAUGAUUCCAUACUCUUUCUUGAUGCCAUACUGCAUUUUGAUUUGUGCAGGAAGCAGUUGGUGCGAGAGUUAGGUUUACAAUUACUCACAUUACUCCAAAGAGACUAAGUUUCUGUUUGGUUAUAAGAACUAUCUAAUGCUGAACUUUGUGUUUUAUGACCAUGUUAAUUGUCAGACGACUGCAUAGUAAAAGUUGGAGAAAGGCAAUAACUUCAAUGUAAUUGAGGAGAAUAUAGUGCCAAGAUCGGAGAUGGGCUUUGUUGUUGCAACCAACAA